rnacentral:tRNA from 1 species
NNNGGGUGUAGUUUAGUGGUAAAACUACAGCCUUCCAAGCUGUUGUCGCGAGUUCGAUUCUCGUCACCCGCUU